GAAGUUUUGCCGCCGCAUUUUCAUUUCCCUUUUCAAAUGAUGUUUGCUGUAGUCCUCCUUUGUAACACCCAGCCUCCAACCCAAUCUCCAAUCCAAUCGGUCCUUGACCCCAGUAGAUGUUGUGCCCUAUAUCGAAGUGUCCUCUCCGAUCGUUGAAGUUGUCCUUGUCGGUGUGUGCUCUUCCAUCGGCAGCCCCUCUUGCUCUUUCCCUUAGGUUCUUUCCCCUUUCUAUUUCUCUAUUCCUCUCUUUCCCUUUUACCUCUCUCUGUUUCACCAUCCCCUUUAAUCACAGCCGAUUGUUUUCGUUUUUAUUUGCUAAUUUUUGGCAGAGGAGGAGUUGCUAUUUAUCACUUUACCUCCCAAGUUUGGCCACGACGAGUACAAUUCCUAUGUUGAUUUCAAUGUUUGGGACUUGGAGCAGUUGAUUUGAGAAAAUUUGACGUCGAUUCGGCUCUCAACAGGGUGUUUUGAGAAUUUUCGACUUCUUUUCUGUUUUCUUUUUUUUUUUUUUUGGGUUGAAGUUUAUAUUCAUUGUGAUAAAGUUUUGAUUUUGAUUUUUGGGUUUGUAUAUUUUGAGACAAGUGGGUUUUGGGGCAGCUGAUGAGGGAGAGUGGAGGUUCUGGAAGUAUGUGGAGGAAUCAAGCUGAGUUUGGACUGGGACUGCCUAUUCACACGGUGUGUGGGAUCGAGAGCUACGAAUCAUAGUUAGCAAUGUAUAUCUUUGCUCAAAGUUGGUGGCAGAAUGUUGUACUCAACCUGCUCAAUGAAUCCAAUUGAGAAGGAAGCUGUGGUAGCUGAGGUGACAUGUCAGUCAUCCUACUUACUUGCAAAAAGAAACACACACAUGAAAACUCAAGUCCAUCUGAUUGAGCUUUCUCUGUCCGGAUUUUCUUAUCUUAUUCUUUUCCUGUAAUUUAAUCAAUUUUCUCUUGUGAAUUUAUGUUAAUUAGUGUGCUGAGUUAUGGUCUUUUUGCUAUAUGCAAUUCAAUGCAGAUUUUCAAUUUUUAUGAUU